UGAUAAUUGGGAAACAUCCGGGAGAUUUGGUAUCGAGUUUGUCUUCGUCUCCAGGAGAAGCUCUGUCGCUAAGAAGCAUUUCCGAUGAACGUGUAUUAGAACCACGGGGACAAAAUAGAGAGAAGCUCUUGAAGAUGGUGGAAAUGGCUU
rnacentral:sRNA from 1 species